rnacentral:rRNA from 1 species
UACGGGGGGGAGCAAGCGUUGUUCGGAUUUACUGGGCGUAAAGGGCGCGUAGGCGGGCGCGACAAGUCACUUGUGAAAUCUCCGGGCUUAACUCGGAGCGGCCAAGUGAUACUGCCGUGCUUGAGGACUGGAGAGGAGACUGGAAUUUACGGUGUAGCGGUGAAAUGCGUAGAUAUCGUAAGGAAGACCAGUGGCGAAGGCGGGUCUCUGGACAGUUCCUGACGCUGAGGCACGAAGGUCAGGGGAGCAAACGGG